rnacentral:rRNA from 1 species
CCUGGCGACGAGUGGCGAACGGGUGAGUAAUACAUCGGAACGUGCCCAGUAGUGGGGGAUAGCCCGGCGAAAGCCGGAUUAAUACCGCAUACGACCUACGGGUGAAAGCGGGGGAUCGCAAGACCUCGCGCUAUUGGAGCGGCCGAUGUCAGAUUAGCUAGUUGGUGGGGUAAAGGCCUACCAAGGCGACGAUCUGUAGCUGGUCUGAGAGGACGACCAGCCACACUGGGACUGAGACACGGCCCAGACUCCUACGGGAGGCAGCAGUGGGGAAUUUUGGACAAUGGGGGCAACCCUGAUCCAGCCAUGCCGCGUGCGGGAAGAAGGCCUUCGGGUUGUAAACCGCUUUUGUCGGGGAAGAAACGGUCUGCGCUAAUACCGCGGGCUAAUGACGGUACCCGAAGAAUAAGCACCGGCUAACUACGUGCCAGCAGCCGCGGUAAUACGUAGGGUGCAAGCGUUAAUCGGAAUUACUGGGCGUAAAGCGUGCGCAGGCGGCUUUGCAAGACAGAUGUGAAAUCCCCGGGCUCAACCUGGGAACUGCAUUUGUGACUGCAUGGCUAGAGUGCGGCAGAGGGGGAUGGAAUUCCGCGUGUAGCAGUGAAAUGCGUAGAUAUGCGGAGGAACA